rnacentral:rRNA from 1 species
GUGAGUAACACGUGAGUAACCUGCCCUUGACUCUGGGAUAAGCCUGGGAAACUGGGUCUAAUACCGGAUAUGACUGUCUGACGCAUGUCAGGUGGUGGAAAGCUUUUGUGGUUUUGGAUGGACUCGCGGCCUAUCAGCUUGUUGGUGGGGUAAUGGCCUACCAAGGCGACGACGGGUAGCCGGCCUGAGAGGGUGACCGGCCACACUGGGACUGAGACACGGCCCAGACUCCUACGGGAGGCAGCAGUGGGGAAUAUUGCACAAUGGGCGCAAGCCUGAUGCAGCGACGCCGCGUGAGGGAUGACGGCCUUCGGGUUGUAAACCUCUUUCAGUAGGGAAGAAGCGAAAGUGACGGUACCUGCAGAAGAAGCGCCGGCUAACUACGUGCCAGCAGCCGCGGUAAUACGUAGGGCGCAAGCGUUAUCCGGAAUUAUUGGGCGUAAAGAGCUCGUAGGCGGUUUGUCGCGUCUGCUGUGAAAGACCGGGGCUCAACUCCGGUUCUGCAGUGGGUACGGGCAGACUAGAGUGCAGUAGGGGAGACUGGAAUUCCUGGUGUAGCGGUGAAAUGCGCAGAUAUCAGGAGGAACACCGAUGGCGAAGGCAGGUCUCUGGGCUGUAACUGACGCUGAGG